CGAAAAAUAACGAUACGGGACUCAUCCGAGGCCCCGUAAUCGGAAUGAGUACACUCUAAACCCUUUAACGAGGACCAAUUGGAGGGCAAGUCUGGUGCCAGCAGCCGCGGUAAUUCCAGCUCCAAUAGCGUAUAUUAAAGUUGUUGCGGUUAAAAAGCUCGUAGUCGAAUUUGUGUCCCGCGCCGCCGGUUCAUCGCUCGCGGUGUCAACUGGCGUGUCCGCGGGACGUCCUGCCGGUGGGCUUAGCUCCGUGCGGGCGGCCCAAUCUCAAUCCCACCGCGGUGCUCUUCACUGAGUGUCGAGGUGGGCCGGCACGUUUACUUUGAACAAAUUAGAGUGCUUAAAGCAGGCUAAAAUAUCGCCUGAAUACUGUGUGCAUGGAAUAAUGGAAUAGGACCUCGGUUCUAUUUUGUUGGUUUUCGGAACCCCGAGGUAAUGAUUAAUAGGAACGGAUGGGGGCAUUCGUAUUGCGACGUUAGAGGUGAAAUUCUUGGAUCGUCGCAAGACGGACAGAAGCGAAAGCAUUUGCCAAAAACGCUUUCAUUGAUCAAGAACGAAAGUUAGAGGUUCGAAGGCGAUCAGAUACCGCCCUAGUUCUAACCAUAAACGAUGCCAGCUAGCGAUCCGCCGACGUUCCUCCGAUGACUCGGCGGGCAGCUUCCGGGAAACCAAAGCUUUUGGGUUCCGGGGGAAGUAUGGUUGCAAAGCUGAAACUUAAAGGAAUUGACGGAAGGGCACCACCAGGAGUGGAGCCUGCGGCUUAAUUUGACUCAACACGGGAAACCUCACCAGGCCCGGACACCGGAAGGAUUGACAGAUUGAGAG
rnacentral:rRNA from 1 species